UCACCUCCAUCCUUAGUGAAGUCUGGGUGGCCGUCUCAGCAGACAAAGCUGCUGAGCUGCCUGCCGACAGGUGACCAACCAAGCGAUUGGAUACUCCCAAGUGUGUGAAGCUCUGUGGUUAGUUACCUUGUGGCUGUGUCACCAUUGGACAAAGUGGACAAGGUACCUCCCCAUCCACAAGACCUGUCAGGGUCUGGAUUCCCAGCACAGUCUAACCGACUAGCAAGCCAUCCAGAGGAUGACGUGGACC
rnacentral:lncRNA from 1 species